GCCGGGUGAGGUGGCGCAUGCCUGUAAUCCCAGCAGUUUGGGAGGCUGAGGCAGGAGGAUCACAAGUUCAAAGCCAGCAUAAGCAACUCAGUGAGACCCUGUCUCUA
rnacentral:sRNA from 1 species